UGGGGAAUUUUGGACAAUGGGCGAAAGCCUGAUCCAGCAAUGCCGCGUGUGUGAAGAAGGCCUUCGGGUUGUAAAGCACUUUUGUCCGGAAAGGAAUGGCUCUGGUUAAUACCUGGGGUCGAUGACGGUACCGGAAGAAUAAGGACCGGCUAACUACGUGCCAGCAGCCGCGGUAAUACGUAGGGUCCAAGCGUUAAUCGGAAUUACUGGGCGUAAAGCGUGCGCAGGCGGUUGUGCAAGACCGAUGUGAAAUCCCCGAGCUUAACUUGGGAAUUGCAUUGGUGACUGCACGGCUAGAGUGUGUCAGAGGGGGGUAGAAUUCCACGUGUAGCAGUGAAAUGCGUAGAGAUGUGGAGGAAUACCGAUGGCGAAGGCAGCCCCCUGGGAUAACACUGACGCUCAUGCACGAAAGCGUGGGGAGCAAACAGGAUUAGAUACCCUGGUAGUCCACGCCCUAAAAGCGAUGUCAACUAGUUGUUGGGGAUUCAUUUCCUUAGUAACGUAGCUAACGCGUGAAGUUGACCGCCUGGGGAGUACGGUCGCAAGAUU
rnacentral:rRNA from 1 species